CCCAGCUCAAACAAUGCUGGGACCCUGUCUUCCUCACAUGCCUGUCUCUGACUCUCUGUGGUGGCCACGUGUGGAUUAAAUGCCCACCCCUGGAGAACCUCCUGGAUUGAGGGGAACAGCUGGUUCCCUGAGGACAGGUGCUGGGCUGGCAAUUCCACCGACUCCCACCAUUCUAGGGUUCUGGAUGGUGGGAACCAAAUGAAGUCUGCUCAUCCCUGACCGCAGAGGCAUCUCCAAGGCCCAAGUCAAGAGGCUGUCCACAUGGCCCAUCCUCUCCCCAGCUGUCCCACUGGGCAAAACCAAGAAGUGAAUCCCUGCAUGGAAGAGAUGAGAAGAGCGAGGUCACAGCAAUUUAGAGAAGAUGGUGUUGAUUGAGAUUUCCAGACAGGGAGCACGGGCUGCUCAGGAAGCAGCUAAUUAAGCAGGAGACUCCAAUUAAGAAGCAAUUUGGGUCUUUGCAGCAAGACCCAGCAGCCACCCAAGUGUAGCAGAGAAAACCACAGGCUCGGGUUCUUGCUCCCCACAUUAGCUGACUGUGAGAUCUCAGGCCAGCUAUUGAGCCUCCCUGGACAUCUGUUUUUUUUGACUAUGAAAUGAGGGGUCAUGCUGCUUAAUAUUGAAGGACCCUGCUGACUUCAAAGUGGGCAAUUCCAGGGAGUGGGAGGAUUCUUUCCCUCCAAUGCUGGAACAUUUUCCACUGCAUUCUAGUGUCUUUAUCACCCUCUUUGCAUUCCACUGAAGGCCAAUUAUUCUCUCAGUUGUAGUGGAUUUGAAUUCUAGUCUAUAAACUAAUUUGCGCA
rnacentral:lncRNA from 1 species